rnacentral:rRNA from 1 species
UGGGGAAUAUUGCACAAUGGGGGAAACCCUGAUGCAGCGACGCCGCGUGAACGAAGAAGGUAUUCGUAUCGUAAAGUUCUGUCCUAUGGGAAGAUAACGACAGUACCAUAGAAGAAAGCUCCGGCUAAAUACGUGCCAGCAGCCGCGGUAAUACGUAUGGAGCGAGCGUUGUCCGGAAUUAUUGGGCGUAAAGGGUACGCAGGCGGUUUAAUAAGUCGAAUGUUAAAGAUCGGGGCUCAACCCCGUAAAGCAUUGGAAACUGAUAAACUUGAGUAGUGGAGAGGAAAGUGGAAUUCCUAGUGUAGUGGUGAAAUACGUAGAUAUUAGGAGGAAUACCAGUAGCGAAGGCGACUUUCUGGACACAAACUGAUGCUGAGGUACGAAAGCGUGGGGAGCAAACAGG